GAGUUUGAUCCUGGCUCAGAGCGAACGUUGGCAGUGUGUCUUAAGCAUGCAAGUCGAACGGCAGCAGGCCAUAUAGCAAUAUAUGGUGCUGGCGAGUGGCGAACUGGUGAGUAACACGUAAGAAUCUACCCUCUGGUGGGGGAUAACUCAUGGAAACAUGAGCUAAUACCGCAUGAAGCCGAAAGGUAAAAGGAGAAAUCCGCCAGUGGAUGAGCUUGCGUCCCAUUAGCUAGUUGGCAGGGUAAAGGCCUACCAAGGCUAUGAUGGGUAGCUGGCCUGAGAGGGUGGUCAGCCACACUGGGACUGAGAUACGGCCCAGACUCCUACGGGAGGCAGCAGCUAAGAAUCUUCCUCAAUGGGGGAGACCCUGAAGGAGCGACACUGCGUGCAGGAUGAAGGCCCUUUGGGUUGUAAACUGCUUUUGUAGGGGAGAAAUAACCGCAAGGGAUGAUAGUACCCUACGAAUAAGUCCCGGCUAACUACGUGCCAGCAGCCGCGGUAAAACGUAAGGGGCGAACGUUGCUCGGAAUUACUGGGCGUAAAGGGCCGGUAGGUGGCUUUAUAAGUCAGUUGUCAAAUACCUAUGCUCAACGUAGGAGAGGCGACUGAUACUGUAGAGCUUGAGUAGAGGAAGGGAUGACGGAAUACCCGGUGUAGGGGUGAAAUCUGUUGAUAUCGGGUAGAACACCGAUGGCGAAAGCGGUCAUCUAGCCUCAUACUGACACUCAACGGCGAAAGCCAGGGGAGCGAACGGGAUUAGAUACCCCGGUAGUCCUGGCCAUAAACGAUGCAUGCUANGUAUUGGCACGGCGUUGGUGAUAGUACCGUAGCUUACGCGUUAAGCAAGCCGCCUGGGGAGUAUGCUCCGCAGAGUGAAACUUAAAGG
rnacentral:rRNA from 1 species